rnacentral:sRNA from 2 species
GAAGAUUCUGAAUCUGUAAAAACUACACAUGUCAAUGUUUUACAGCUACGUAAUUCGAAUUGACUUGAUUUUUUCAAGUAAUCCUAGAAAGGGGGAGCAUUCCAUAUAGAAACUGCUGAAACUGCCACAGGUGCUUCUCCGAAAACCUUACAGUUGUGGCAUUGAAUGUUCAGUAUCGCUUCCUUUCUGCACACGAGGCAUACUGUUGAGCCUGAGAAAUGCCAGUGGCCUGACAGCAGCAGACAUUGCACAAACCCAGGGUUUCCAAGAGUGUGCCCAGUUUCUCUUGAACCUCCAGAAUUGUCAUCUGAACCAUUUCUAUAACAAUGGCAUCUUAAAUGGGGGUCAUCAGAAUGUAUUUCCUAAUCAUAUUAGUGUGGGAACAAAUCGAAAGAGAUGCUUGGAAGACUCAGAAGCCUUUGGAGUAAAGAAAGCUAGAACUGAAG